UCUUUAAGAAAAUAAUAUAAAGUAAAACCUGCUCAAUGUAUAAUUCAUCAAUAGCCGCAGUUAUUACUGUGCUAAGGUAGCAUAAUCAUGUGCUCUCUAAUUAAGAGAUAGUAUGAACGGUUAAACACUUAAAAUACGUAUCUUAAAACAAAAUAAAUUUAAGAUAAGAGUAAAAACUCUCUUAUAAAACCGCGGGACGACAAGACCCUGAUAAACUAACUCUUUUAGUUGGGGAAACAUAAUAAUAAAUCUUUACACAAAUUAAAUACACACCUUUACAAAUAAAAUAAAGAAAAGUUACUACAGGGAUAACAGCGCAAUUUACUUUUAGAGACCUUAUCCAAAAGAAAGAUUACGACCUCGAUGUUGAAUUAAGCACUCCCUAAGGUGCAAUAGCCAAGAGGGAUAGUCUGUUCGACUAUUAAAAC
rnacentral:rRNA from 1 species